UACGUAGGGGGCAAGCGUUAUCCGGAUUUAUUGGGCGUAAAGAGCCCGUAGGCGGCCGAUCGCGUCGGAUGUGAAAGCUCGGGGCUCAACCCUGAGAGGCCAUUCGAUACGGAUCGGCUAGAGGUAGGUAGGGGAAAGUGGAAUUCCUGGUGUAGCGGUGAAAUGCGCAGAUAUCAGGAGGAACACCGGUGGCGAAGGCGGCUUUCUGGGCCUUACCUGACGCUGAGGAGCGAAAGCUGGGGGAGCAAACAGG
rnacentral:rRNA from 1 species